rnacentral:rRNA from 1 species
GGAAGGAUCAUUACCGAAUUGUCAAACAUGGGUUGUUGCUGGCCCCCGAACGGGGCAUGUGCACGCUCUGUUUACACAUCCACUCACACCUGUGCACCCUCUGUAGUUCUGUGGACCGGGAGACGUCGUCUUCCUUCCGUAGCUCUACGUCUUUACACACACACCGUAGCGAUGUCUCAUGGAAUGUUUUUUCGCGUUUAACGCAAUACAAUACAACUUUCAGCAACGGAUCUCUUGGCUCUCGCAUCGAUGAAGAACGCAGCGAAAUGCGAUAAGUAAUGUGAAUUGCAGAAUUCAGUGAAUCAUCGAAUCUUUGAACGCACCUUGCGCCCCUUGGUUAUUCCUCGGAGCAUGCCUGUUUGAGUAUCAUGAACACCUCAACUCUCAUGGUCUUCCAUGAUGAGCUUGGACUUUGGGGGUUUGCUGGCCUUGUGGCCGGCUCCUCUCAAAUGAAUCAGCUUGCCAGUGUUUGGCGGCGUCACGGGUGUGAUAACUAUCUACGCUCGUGGUCGUCCACCAGGUAACCCUCAGCGAUGAAGGUUCAUCGGGGCUCAUAAACGUCUCUCCCCAGCGAGGACAACUUUUGAACGUUCGAUCUCAAAUCAGGUAGGACUACCCGCUGAACUUAAGCAUAUCAAUAAGCGGAGGAA